rnacentral:rRNA from 1 species
UACGGGGGAAGCAAACGUUGCUCGGAAUCACUGGGCGUAAAGCGCACGUAGGCGGCUUUCUAAGUCAGGGGUGAAAUCCUGGAGCUCAACUCCAGAACUGCCUUUGAUACUGGGAAGCUCGAGUCCGGAAGAGGUGAGUGGAACUCCGAGUGUAGAGGUGAAAUUCGUAGAUAUUCGGAAGAACACCAGUGGCGAAGGCGGCUCACUGGUCCGGUACUGACGCUGAGGUGCGAAAGCGUGGGGAGCAAACAGG